rnacentral:lncRNA from 1 species
AUUCGAACCUGAGAACACAAUCCCAAAGCUCCAGCCCUGGAGUCGGGAUGUGGGAUUUGAGCCCAGCUCUGUCACUCUCUUGGGUCAAGAAAAUGUCGUUUUCUUCCUUCUCCUGUAAACUCCGCUCUGAAAUCCAAAAACUUAGUGUAAUGCAUGGAGCAGCCCUGAGGAUUCAUGAAACACCCCUGUCAAAGUCAAGUUCUCUGGCACUUGGUUGGCAUUGGGCAGGGAUCAAAGCUUCGUAAUAAAUUCUUGCCAACACAGGAACUUCAAGCAAUGGUGAUCACAGAAG